rnacentral:tRNA from 1 species
GAAGUGUAGCUCAGUGGAAGAGCACUUAGCAUGCGAGAGGGCCCUGGAUCGAUGCCAAGCACUUUCAC